AUCGGCAUUUUGCCAGACAAUAAGUCACGAAGUGCCGAUUUUAUAUCAAGUUCGUCAGUUUAGGGACCAAGAAAUUGUAUUCUAUCUGUCGAAGGACCUUGAAGCAAUUUUUUCCUACUCAAACUCGGGCCAUUUCCAUCUACUCUUUCCCUCCCACAAACCCUAACCCUAGAUCUUCCCACCUCCAAAUCUCCAAGCUCCUGCCGCUAGGCAAUCAUCCAGCGUCCGAGGAGGUGCUGCUCUUCGAUUCCGGAGUCCUCGUGUUCGUUUGAUCUUCCACUCCAUCCCUUCGAGUCGGAUGAGAUGACUUUGCUGCUAGAAAAUGGUGAUCUACUAAAGCAUGGCUUCAACUUUGAAAUCUUACCAAACUCAGGAGCACCUGCUUCAGUGACAGAGUCAUUUCUUUUUUGUUUUUCUGAUGUAACUACUAUGCCGAUCUGAAUGUCUUUGGUCAAUAUAAUGAUGCAACUGCUGAUGUUUUGUGACUUUGGCAAUCAUGCAGGAUGACAGCAUAAAACCGAAAAAAAGAAGAUUCCAACACUUUGAACUUUCAUGAAAAACUUUCCAGUUCACACAGCAGUACUUCGUAAAAGCUCAUGCAGAGAUUUUGAACAUUUGAAGCCUGUGACAGGGAAAGCGAACAAACUAGGACACUACUUUAUGGCCAUGAUAUUUGAUUCUGUUAGUAUCGCAUGGUAAUUUGUAUAGCAUGAUUGUUCUGAAAGGUGCCAUUGUUUCAUUUUUUUUCCUCUUGGGACGCUUUUGCAGACAUCGUUUCCUAGCCGAUCAUGUAUUGUUCCUUAAUAACCUUAAACUCCUUUUUACCGCCAUCUUGGUAUUUUCUUAUAUCAGAUGAUUAAAAUUUUUUGAUGUACAAGUUGCACAUGUGCGCGCACAAACACAUGAAAAAAAGAAAAGGGAUUAGUUCAAACUCUUGCUACUUGGGUUGAUUUAGCACAUGGAAAGUAUUCAAAGCCUUUGUAUCAAUCAUCAAUCCAUGUUCAUAUUUCAUAACAACCAUCACCUGUUAAAAUGGUGCAGAUGAUGUGCUCGAAAAGCAUGAUGCCUGGAACUUGGCGUGGGCAGCGUCGACGUUUCAUGGAAUUCAGCCUCGAAAAGAUGCUGAUCAAACUUGUAGACUAAAUUUUACAUAUAUUUUCACUUGUAUAACUAUCACUAAUGUACCAAAGUUUCCAAUUGGCAGGAAUUUUGGCCCUGAUCUGCCCUUGAGGGAACCCAAGGGUACAAAAAAGGGAAGCAUACCAGCUUCAGCAGCAAGAGUUGGCCUCCACAUGGAAGACAACCUGUAGUGGUUGGACCAGAAGCGGGCGAGCAUCCAUGUGCUGCCAUUUUUUAUUGGCAUGCAUUAGUGGAAGCUCUGCUGUCAAUUUAGGGUUUGGCAACGGCACUCCGAACAUGUUUAUGGCCCUUAUGCCGGAUUGGUGUCUCUACUUUGCCAAAAGGAUUAUUUCACUCUACUUUGGUUCCGCUUUUAUUGCAUCUAGGGGCAGCUUCUGUUGAUCUACUCCCAUUCUCUUAAAAUUGUCUUCCUUUAUCUAUAACUACUUUGAAAGGGUUUCAGGAAUUUGCAAGGAGCAUUGGCAAGAGAAGGUCUUUCAUGUCGAAUGCCAUGCUAUUUUUCUGUCUUUCUAAUAGAUCUACUACAGGCAGGACUUUUCAAUGGGGCAGCUUUUUCUCGAAUAUCCCUAAUCCCUUGGAGGUGGGAUUGAAACUUCAUUUUGUACCAACUUAGUCAGCCAAUACCUUUCGAUAUUAUGCAUGGAA